rnacentral:rRNA from 1 species
UACCUGCAGCUCGAGUGGUAACCGCUUUUAUUGGGCCUAAAGCGUCCGUAGCCGGUUUGGUAAAUAUCUGGGUAAAUCGUGAGGCUUAACUUCACGAAUUUCGGAUAGACUGCCAGACUUGGGAUCGGGGGAGGUCAGAGGUACUCCAGGGGUAGCGGUGAAAUGUUGUAAUCCUUGGAGGACCACCGGUAGCGAAGGCGUCUGACUAGAACGAGUCCGACGGUGAGGGACGAAGCCCUGGGGCGCAAACCGGAUUAGAUACCCGGGUAGUCCAGGGUGUAAACAAUGUGGGCUUUGUAUUGGAGGUCCCACGUGGGCGUCCAGUGCAGAAGAGAAGUUGUUAAGCCCACCGCCUGGGAAGUACGGUCGCAAGGCUGAAACUUAAAGGAAUUGGCGGGGAGCACAGCAACGGGAGGAGCGUGCGGUUU